rnacentral:rRNA from 1 species
CAAGUCGAACGCACUCUUCGGAGUGAGUGGCAGACGGGUGAGUAACGCGUGGGAACCUUCCCAAUGGUACGGAAUAGCCCAGGGAAACUUGGGGUAAUACCGUAUAAGCCCUACGGGGGAAAGAUUUAUCGCCAUUGGAUGGGCCCGCGUCGGAUUAGCUUGUUGGUGGGGUAAUGGCCUACCAAGGCAACGAUCCGUAGCUGGUCUGAGAGGAUGAUCAGCCACACUGGGACUGAGACACGGCCCAGACUCCUACGGGAGGCAGCAGUGGGGAAUAUUGGACAAUGGGCGAAAGCCUGAUCCAGCCAUGCCGCGUGAGUGACGAAGGCCUUAGGGUUGUAAAGCUCUUUUGGCGGGGACGAUAAUGACGGUACCCGCAGAAUAAGCUCCGGCUAACUUCGUGCCAGCAGCCGCGGUAAUACGAAGGGAGCUAGCGUUGUUCGGAAUCACUGGGCGUAAAGCGCACGUAGGCGGAUUUGUUAGUCAGGGGUGAAAUCCCGGGGCUCAACCUCGGAACUGCCUUUGAUACUGCAAGUCUCGAGUCCGAGAGAGGUGGGUGGAAUUCCUAGUGUAGAGGUGAAAUUCGUAGAUAUUAGGAAGAACACC